rnacentral:lncRNA from 10 species
ACAGAAGUGUAUGUGUAGGAGUUCUGAGGAUGACAAAAAGGAUGAGGCAAUAGAAGGUGACUGUGACCUUGUGAGACAGGCACUGUCCCCAGUCUAUCACUCUAUUUUUGUUUCUUUGGGUUUUUUUGAAGCAGGGUCUCGUUCUGUCACUCAGGCUGGAGUGCAGUGGUGCAAUCAUAGCUUACUGCAGCCUUGAUCUCCUGGGCUCCAAGCAAGCCCCCUGCUUCAGCCUCCUGAGUAACUAGGACUCCAGACACACACAAACACCACACCCGGCUAAUUUUCAAAAUGUUUAUUUUUAGUACAGACGGGGUCUUACUAUGUGGCCCAGGCUGGUGUCAAGCUCCUGGGCUCAAGUGAUCCUUCUGCUUUGACCUUCCAAAGUGCUGGGAUUGCAUGUGUGAGCCACCAUGCCUAGUUCACUGUCCCCACUCUAAAGCAGACAGCCCAAGUGGGGGCAAAGUUGAGAAGCAAACACACACUGUACUCCAAAGCCUCUGAAAAUCCCUCCUUGUGUCCUUCCUAAGAAGGUCCCAGAGUCUCUGUGUCAUCCCUGAAGCUGAAGUCAGUCCAUUCUGGGAGCAGAGUCCAGCUGUGUCCUGUGUUUGGGGCUAAGAAGAAUGUGAGAUUCCUGCUGAGUGUGAGCUGAGCAAGGUUGUAGUAAGGAGGGCAGUGAUGUGAUGCAUUGUUUAAGGGGUGCAGCUGCCAGAUGUGAGUGGGUGAGGGCAGAUGUGAGGGGCAUCAGCCAGCUAUGUGUGGGGGUGGUCAGACCUGGUUGGGGAGGCACAAUGGAAACAAUAGGGGAGCAGGCCAGGUGGGUAUGCGAAAGUGAGACAGAGUGGCAGGAUGAACCGGGAGGGGGAUCAGAUGUGAGGGGCUGGAGAAUAGAUGACCCCGAGCCUCAGUCUUUAGGAGGGUGGCUGUCCCUGGGAAAUGGAUGAUGCGGUCUGUGGAGGA